rnacentral:rRNA from 1 species
CCUACGGGAGGCAGCAGUGGGGAAUAUUGGACAAUGGGGGGAACCCUGAUCCAGCGAUGCCGCGUGUGUGAAGAAGGCCUGAGGGUUGUAAAGCACUUUCAGUGGGGAGGAGAGGUUAUAGGUUAAGAGCUGAUGACUGAGACGUUACCCACAGAAGAAGCACCGGCUAACUCCGUGCCAGCAGCCGCGGUAAUACGGGGGGUGCAAGCGUUAAUCGGAAUUAUUGGGCGUAAAGAGUGCGUAGGUGGUUUGAUAAGUUAUCUGUGAAAACCCUGGGCUUAACCUGGGGGAGAGAGAUAAGACUGUUGGACUAGAGUAUGGGAGAGGGUAGUGGAAUUUCCGGUGUAGCGGUGAAAUGCGUAGAGAUCGGAAGGAACACCAGUGGCGAAGGCGGCUACCUGGCCUAAUACUGACACUGAGGCACGAAAGCGUGGGGAGCAAACAGGAUUAGAUACCCUGGUAGUCCACGCCGUAAACGAUGUCAACUAGCUGUUGGUUAUAUUGAUAUAAUUAGUGGCGCAGCAAACGCGAUAAGUUGACCGCCUGGGGAGUACGGUCGCAAGNUUAAAACUCAAAGGAAUUGACGGCUGAGACGNGCGACGGACGACGACGAGGGAGGAGG